GGGACUUGGUACAUCAUCAACUCAAGUAUGUAAGACCCAUCUUAAGGACAGCACAAUAAAUACUAAGAUAAGUAUAUCAAGGUACAUAUACAAACAGAAUCAUGGAUAAGGAUAGAGACUGUCCUCUUCAAUGAUAUUUUCCUUUGCAACAAAUUAAGGCUGGAAUCAAACCCAGGCUGCAAUGGAAAAACUAGGAGAACCAAAAGCUAAUCGCUUGGUGUUUGCGGUGUUCCCAUUUCAGGGCCACAUAAAUCCAAUGCUACAACUAGCCACAAUCCUGCACUCAAAAGGCUUCUCAAUCACCAUUGUGCAUCCCCAAUUCAACUAUCCUAAUUCUUCAAAUCAUCGUCAAUUAACCUUCAAACCCAUAAUCGAUAACUUACCCGUAAGCAAAGUCCUGCCUGGAGAUUUCUUUGGUAUCAUUAAUGCUCUUAACAAGAAUUGCCAAGUGCCCUUUGAGCUAUGCAUGAAGAAAAUGCUAGAGAAAGAAGAUUCAGAUGAUCGGAUUUCAUGCAUUGUUUAUGAUGGGCUGAUGCAUUUUGCUCAAACUGUUGCUAAUAAUCUGAAGCUGCGAGGGAUUAGCGUUCGGACUACUGCUGCUGCUGCUGCCAUAUUCACUAAUACCGUGUUUCCUCAUCCACAUCAACAGGGCUAUAUUUCUCUUCUAGGUACGUAAAUUCAUUUACUAAUAUUUCAUCGAUAGUUAAAUGAUCUGGUUGAUGUCAAGUUGGAAUAUUCAGUAAUUCGAGACAUGCUAGUGAAUGUCCUUAUCAUAUCCCUAAACUUUUAAGAAAUGGUGUUUAUCCUUUCAAGGUCUUCUAUUUUCCAAGAUUU
rnacentral:misc_RNA from 1 species